UUAAUCUCAUCGUACUUCAACAAACUUCAACUUAAAGUCAAGACUUCCGAAUCUUUGCGUCAAUUCAUAUUCAUCUCGAAGGUACUCCCAAACUUGAGCAUAGUUGGCAUUUUUCCAAGCAAUGUCCGACCUGUAAAACCCUAGGAAGAUUAAUAUGGCCAGAUGAGUUAAAUAGUGCAUGAAUUUUAACUGUUUUUAGAAGAUUCCAAUAGUUUUGUCUAAGAGCACUUCUUUGUUAGAUUAUAGAUAGUAGAUACAAAAUAUUUUUACUAUCCUAAACACUAUGAAAUUUAGUCUUUGAUGUAACUAUUACUCUAUUAGAAGUUUAGAAAUAAAUAAAAGCAUAUUGUAAAUGUUAAAGUGCCAUCCUGGAGUCCUGGACUGCUUACAGCACUUAAGCUAUGGUUUAUACAAUGAGCAGGCAGGAGGAAGGAACAUGCAUGCUAGCUAGUUUUCAACAUCCCCAUCGAUUUUCAACACACCCAAUGCUCGUCCAACAGUUAAUGUACACUGGGGCAUUUACUUUACUACGGGAGGAAGGAACUAGUCUGAAUUAAAUAGGAUACACAAGGACACUCGAGCCACAGUCUCUCCACCGACUUAUGAGAUCUCCGGUACAUUUGAGCUCAAGCUCAACUACAAAAUUCACGAAGCAUUUUCAUCAUCAGACUCCACUAGCCCAUGUAGAGCGACUUCAAAAAAGUGUGGACAGCAAAUGUAUGCGUUCUUCUUCUGACUUCUUUUGCAUUUCUUCAAGUUUAGCACUCCUUUUUUCUCAAGCAUUCUGAAACACGACAAGGUAACAAACAUAUUGGGGAGAUUCAGUUGGCCAAAGUUUAAUACUUUCCACACCAUCUUAAUAAAGGGAUCAACACCCUCAGGGUUGUCGAGAAUCCUCGAUUCCUCAUCUUUGUAACUGAUACCCUUCUAUAUGAAUUCAUUUGUAC
rnacentral:lncRNA from 1 species